rnacentral:piRNA from 1 species
UUGGUUUAGAAUUGGAUGCUU